rnacentral:lncRNA from 1 species
CUUCACAUAAACUCACUCGCUAUUCGAAAAAGUGGCCAGGGUGCUGUGCAAAGUGGCAGCAGUGGAACGACUGUAGGAAAACGUGCUGUUGUUUCCGUUACCGUGGCCGCCUAACGCAGCCAAGCGGGGCCUAAAGGCUCUGCGGUUAAAGUCCCGGUGGACUGUGUCCUCUCGUUGAGGCAGUGGGCAAUGGUGUGGGCAAUGGUGGGCAGGACGGAUGAGGGCAAGGUCAUCCAGAUCCUAUGGCAUAAACACGUUGGUUACCGACCGUUUUGAACACUACCGGGUUCAUUAACCGAACUGACCGGUUAACGAUC